CCUACGGGAGGCAGCAGUGAGGAAUAUUGGUCAAUGGACGAGAGUCUGAACCAGCCAAGUAGCGUGAAGGAUGACUGCCCUAUGGGUUGUAAACUUCUUUUAUAGGGGAAUAAAAUGUUCCACGUGUGGGUUUUUGUAUGUACCCUAUGAAUAAGCAUCGGCUAACUCCGUGCCAGCAGCCGCGGUAAUACGGAGGAUCCGAGCGUUAUCCGGAUUUAUUGGGUUUAAAGGGUGCGUAGGUGGUUUUUUAAGUCAGUUGUGAAAGUUUGUGGCUCAACCGUAAAAUUGCAGUUGAAACUGGCAGUCUUGAGUGCGGUUGAGGUGGGCGGAAUGCGUGGUGUAGCGGUGAAAUGCUUAGAUAUCACGCAGAACUCCGAUUGCGAAGGCAGCUUACUGGGCUGUAACUGACACUGAGGCUCGAAAGUGUGGGUAUCAAACAGGAUUAGAUACCCGAGUAGUC
rnacentral:rRNA from 1 species